CUGCUACUCGCCACCAAAUCCUUUCCCAGCAAAAAGUUAAAGGGGUCAUCAUUUGGCUCCCUUCUGUUCUCUCAACUCCUCAACUUCUCUAAGUAUGCUAAGGCUUACGGCCCAUUUAAAUGGGGCCUAAACAUCACUUACGGCCCAUUUAAAUAGGGCCUAACCAUCGCUUACGGCCCAUUGAAAUUGUUGCUCCUGAUUUCCACACUUGAAGUCGGAUGCCGAGGUGAGG
rnacentral:lncRNA from 1 species